rnacentral:misc_RNA from 1 species
AACGCACAUUGCGCCCUGUGGUAUUCCGCAGGGCAUGCCUGUUCGAGCGUCAUUAUAACCAAUCAAGCUUAGCUUGGUAUUGGGGUGCGCAUUUUGCGGCCCUCAAACGCAGUGGCAGUCUCGGCAGACCCUGAGCGUAGUAAAUUUUCUCGCUACUGGGCCUUGUCGGCGACUUGUCAGAACCCCUCCAUUUUAUCAGGUUGACCUCGGAUCAGGUAGGGAUACCCGCUGAACUUAA